rnacentral:rRNA from 1 species
GGCCGCCCAUCCUAUGCCUCGCUUCGCCUCAAACAACACUACUUUGUCUACAACGCAAGCGUCCCUGAGCUCAAGCACAUCAAGCAGCCGGGCGACGACCACCCAGUCAACGAUCACUCCUUUGCCAUUGUGAGCAAUGGCAAACCUGACUGCACCUUCGUCCUUGCCGCACAAGCUGAUAGGUUUGGGCAUGGCAAUCCUUCUCACCUCUGCCUGUAUCAAUCUGGUACCAACUCCUGGAGCAAAGUGCUGGUGAAUGUCGAUUCAGUCCCCUACCAGCUCACCACAUACAAGGCAAUCACCAUAAAAGGAGAUUUAGGCCUAGUAGCCUGGGUCGAUCUCUCACAUAUGAUCACCUUCUGCAACGUGCUGGACAAAAGCCCCA